rnacentral:misc_RNA from 1 species
CCCCUCCUUUCUCGAGCUAACGUGUCAAUGCGUUGAGCGCUCACGCUUAUCGGCUGUGAAUUAGGACAGUAAGUCAGACAGACUGAGGGGUCUGUAGCUCAGUCGGUUAGAGCACCGUCUUGAUAAGGCGGGGGUCGAUGGUUCGAAUCCAUCCAGACCCACCAUUGUCUUGUCUGCGAUGGCUGCGCUAAUCGAUGAACCCUGAAGUGUGAUGAUGCUAUCUGUGCAUGACUGGGGGAUUAGCUCAGCUGGGAGAGCACCUGCUUUGCAAGCAGGGGGUCGUCGGUUCGAUCCCGUCAUCCUCCACCAAUCUUCAAUGCGCAGCGUUCUGCUGAAGUAGCAAGCAGAGUGUUUUGCAUUGGCGAUUGAGCCAGUCAGAGUGAUACGCGGUUAUAGCAACUGCGAUAUCGGCUGUCGUUCUUUAACAAUCAGGAAGAAGUAGUAAAGAGAUUCACGAAAGCAUACUUAGAGAUGGGUGUGUGAGUAGGUGAAUCAGGGUUGUGAUUGUAUCAAUGUAUUUUUUAAGUGAUCGAAAGAUCGCUUUGGAAUACGGCGCAACACGAAUACUCAACCUGUAGCGAUUGUGGCGAAGGUGGCAUUCCCAGUGAAUGACACAUGAGACACACCCGUUAUAGGGUCAAGCGAACAAGUGCAUGUGGUGGAUGCCUUGGCGAUCACAGGCGAUGAAGGACGCGGUAGCCUGCGAAAAGCGACGGGGAGCUGGCAAACGAGCUUUGAUCCGUCGAUGUCCGAAUGGG